AGUCCAGUGGUUAGGAUUCUGCACUUCCACUGCAGAGGGUAUAGGUUCGAUCCCUGGU
rfam:Ovis aries breed Texel chromosome 2, whole genome shotgun sequence.